AACGCGAAGAACCUUACCCAGGUUUGACAUGCAUUCGAAAACCGUGGAAACACGGUCCCCGAAAGGUGGAUGCACAGGUGGUGCAUGGCUGUCGUCAGCUCGUGCCGUGAGAUGUUGGGUUAAGUCCCGCAACGAGCGCAACCCUUGUCCUUAGUUGCCAGCAUUUAGUUGGGCACUCUAAGGAGACCGCCGGUGACAAACCGGAGGAAGGUGGGGAUGACGUCAAGUCAUCAUGGCCUUUAUGGCCAGGGCUACACACGUGCUACAAUGGUAGAUACAGAGGGUUGCCAACGCGCGAGCGGGAGCCAAUCCCAGAAAAUCUAUCGUAGUCCGGAUUGGAGUCUGCAACUCGACUCCAUGAAGUCGGAAUCGCUAGUAAUCGCAGAUCAGCAUUGCUGCGGUGAAUACGUUCCCGGGCCUUGUACACACCGCGCAUA
rnacentral:rRNA from 1 species